rnacentral:rRNA from 1 species
GUGGGGAAUAUUGCACAAUGGGCGCAAGCCUGAUGCAGCGACGCCGCGUGAGGGAUGACGGCCUUCGGGUUGUAAACCUCUUUCGCCAGGGACGAAGAGAGAUUGACGGUACCUGGAGAAGAAGGACCGGCCAACUACGUGCCAGCAGCCGCGGUAAUACGUAGGGUCCGAGCGUUGUCCGGAAUUACUGGGCGUAAAGAGCUCGUAGGUGGUUUGUCGCGUUGUUCGUGAAAACUCACAACUCAAUUGUGGGCGUGCGGGCGAUACGGGCAGACUGGAGUACUGCAGGGGAGACUGGAAUUCCUGGUGUAGCGGUGGAAUGCGCAGAUAUCAGGAGGAACACCGGUGGCGAAGGCGGGUCUCUGGGCAGUAACUGACGCUGAGGAGCGAAAGCGUGGGGAGCGAACAGGAUUAGAAACCCUAGUAGUCC